rfam:Ixodes scapularis strain Wikel colony gcontig_1108379503318, whole genome shotgun sequence.
UCCUGGUUAGCUCAGUUGGUAGAGCGGUCCACUAAAAAUGAAGAGAUCCCUAGUUCGAUACCAGGACCACGGC